ACUCCUACGGGAGGCAGCAGUGGGGAAUAUUGCACAAUGGGGAAACCCUGAUGCAGCCAUGCCGCGUGUGUGAAGAAGGCCUCGGUUGUAAAGCACUUCAGUAGGGAGGAAGGUAGUGUAGUUAACACCUGCACUAUUUGACGUUACCUACAGAAGAAGCACCGGCUAACUCCGUGCCAGCAGCCGCGGUAAUACGGAGGGGUGCGAGCGUUAAUCGGAAUUACUGGGCGUAAAGCGCAUGCAGGCGGCCUGUUAAGUCAGAUGUGAAAGCCCGGGGGCUUAACCUCGGAAUUGCAUUUGAAACUGGCAGGCUAGAGUCUUGUAGAGGGGGUAGAAUUUCAGGUGUAGCGGUGAAAUGCGUAGAGAUCUGAAGGAAUACCAGUGGCGAAGGCGGCCCCCUGGACAAAGACUGACGCUCAGAUGCGAAAGCGUGGGGAGCAAACAGGAUUAGAUACCCUGGUACACAGAG
rnacentral:rRNA from 1 species